CAUCAAGUGAUGAGAAAUAUAACUGCAACAAAAUGAUCGACUAUUUGUUCGUGAUUAUUGGUAUUUAAGUCUCUGAUGAUG
rfam:Helianthus annuus linkage group 6, whole genome shotgun sequence.